rnacentral:rRNA from 1 species
GUUGAACGCUGGCGGCAGGCCUAACACAUGCAAGUCGAGCGGAGCGGCGGACGGGUGAGUAAUGAAUAGGAAUCUGCCUGGUCGUGGGGGAUAGCGUCAGGAAAGGGGCGCUAAUACCGCAUCCUAUCAGAUGCGCCUAGGUGGGAUUAGCUAGUUGGUGGGGUAAAGGCCUACCAAGGCGACGAUCCGUAACUGGUCUGAGAGGAUGAUCAGUCACACUGGACCUGAGACACGGUCCAGACUCCUACGGGAGGCAGCAUUGGGGAAUAUUGGACAAUGGGCGAAAGCCUGAUCCAGCCAUGCCGCGUGUGGGAAGAAGGUCUUCGGAUUGUAAAGCACUUUAAGUUGGGAGGCGGUACCUACAGAAUAAGCACCGGCUAACUUCGUGCCAGCAGCCGCGGUAAUAC